rnacentral:rRNA from 1 species
AUUGAACGCUGGCGGCAUGCCUUACACAUGCAAGUCGAACGGCAGCACGGGGGCAACCCUGGUGGCGAGUGGCGAACGGGUGAGUAAUGCAUCGGAACGUGCCCAGUAGUGGGGGAUAGCCCGGCGAAAGCCGGAUUAAUACCGCAUACGUACUGAGGUAGAAAGCGGGGGACCGAAAGGCCUCGCGCUAUUGGAGCGGCCGAUGUCGGAUUAGCUUGUUGGUGGGGGUAAUGGCCUACCAAGGCGACGAUCCGUAACUGGUCUGAGAGGACGACCAGUCACACUGGGACUGAGACACGGCCCAGACUCCUACGGGAGGCAGCAGUGGGGAAUUUUGGACAAUGGGCGCAAGCCUGAUCCAGCCAUGCCGCGUGAGUGAAGAAGGCCUCGGUUGUAAGG